rnacentral:misc_RNA from 1 species
CGCACAUUGCGCCCGCCAGUAUUCUGGCGGGCAUGCCUGUCUGAGCGUCAUUUCAACCCUCACGCCCCCCUGGGCGUGGUGUUGGGGACCGGCCGAGCCCUGCGAGGGGACGGCCGCCCCCUAAAUCUAGUGGCGGGACCGCUGUAGCCUCCUCCGCGUAGUAGUGAUACCCCGCGCGUGGAGAGCGGCGAGCCCCUGCCGUUAAACCCCCAACUUCUUCAGGUUGACCUCAGAUCAGGUAGGAAUACCCGCUGAACUUAA